rnacentral:rRNA from 1 species
GUAGGUGGCAAGCGUUGUCCGGAAUUAUUGGGCGUAAAGCGCGCGCAGGCGGUUCUUUAAGUCUGAUGUGAAAGCCCACGGCUCAACCGUGGAGGGUCAUUGGAAACUGGAGAACUUGAGUACAGAAGAGGAAAGCGGAAUUCCACGUGUAGCGGUGAAAUGCGUAGAGAUGUGGAGGAACACCAGUGGCGAAGGCGGCUUUCUGGUCUGUAACUGACGCUGAGGCGCGAAAGCGUGGGGAGCAAACAGGGAUUAGAUACCCUGGUAGUCCACGCCGUAAACGAUGAGUGCUAAGUGCUAGGGGGGUCUCCGCCCCUUAGUGCUGCAGCUAACGCAUUAAGCACUCCGCCUGGGAGUACGGCCGCAAGGCUG